UUUAGCGACAGUGUUGUGUGCUCCGAGAAAAUCGUGCAGAUUGUGCAAAUUUGGGUAAUCUGCACGAUUUUCUCGGAGCACACAUCUCUGUCGUUAAA
rnacentral:pre_miRNA from 1 species